rnacentral:ncRNA from 1 species
UAACGACUGCCACCGGGCAGCAAUUGUUGGUACUUUUGACAAUUCCGUUAGGUCUUUGAAGGAAUUGUGAGGGGUACCAUUUUCUU